GGAGCGUCCGCGGCCCGCGCAGAGCCGCGCACCAAGCCGAUGGCGGUGGACGCAGCAGGGCCCCGCGGUCUGAGUGCGGGCAGGCGCGCGUGGGCGUGUCUCCCUGGCCCACGCGUGUCCCCGGCAUCAGUGUCUCGGCUCUGGUCCAGGACGAAGACUUCUGAAAGCGAGCCAAGGAGAAUCACAGUUCUUAACGGAGCCCCUGACUGCCCGGUGGAAGGAGGUGAUUUAGAAGACAGUGAGUUGAUCUGGGGCAAAGUGAAGCAUCAGUAGCGCCUUCCAUCCCUUCACCUCACCUGGAUCUCUUCACUUCACUCCACGUCUGUCGUCUCCCAUGCAUGAAGCAACAUGGCCAAGUGAAGCUGCAACCAGUAAAGUGUAAGGUAUCAAGUAGUGACAAUGAUGGUGUCAAAUAAUUGCUAUUUUUAGACUCAGCUACUGUUCCCAUCGAGAUGCAAAGGACACAGAGCUCACGGGUGCUCCAGCAAUGCUGGUGUCAUGUUUGGAGGUAGCUGUCUAUGGACUACAGUAUUCUCCCAGUGCUAGUCUGCAGUCACUGCAAAGGUGAGGUGCUUCUGUGUCACUAGCUUUGUUGAAAAUGCUUAAUAUUGCAAGGCAUUCUUGAAUAUUUGCUACUGUAAUCAAAGAAUAGAAACAAUGAAAUAAAUUUUAUGUGUUAACUCUUUUUUUCUAAAAUAAAAUGUCUUCAUUGGAUUGAAUGAACAUUGAUUAUUAAAAAGAGCUCUAAAAAUUC
rnacentral:lncRNA from 1 species